rnacentral:rRNA from 1 species
AUACGGAGGGUGCAAGCGUUACUCGGAAUCACUGGGCGUAAAGCGCGCGCAGGCGGCUAUUUAAGUUGGAUGUGAAAGCCUACGGCUCAACCGUAGAACUGCAUCCAAAACUAUUUAGCUAGAGUGUGGGAGAGGAAGAUGGAAUUAGUUGUGUAGGGGUAAAAUCCGUAGAGAUAACUAGGAAUACCAAAAGCGAAGGCAAUCUUCUGGAACACUGCUGACGCUGAGGCGCGAAAGCGUGGGGAGCAAACGGGAUUAGAAACCCUAGUAGUCC